rnacentral:rRNA from 1 species
UACGUAGGGGCCUAGCGUUGUCCGGAUUUAUUGGGCGUAAAGAGCGUGUAGGCGGCCAGACAGGUCCGUUGUGAAAACUGGAGGCUCAACCUCCAGACAUCGAUGGAAACCGUCUGGCUAGAGUCCGGAAGAGGAGAGUGGAAUUCCUGGUGUAGCGGUGAAAUGCGCAGAUAUCAGGAAGAACACCCGUGGCGAAAGCGGCUCUCUGGGACGGUACUGACGCUGAGACGCGAAAGCGUGGGGAGCGAACAGG